rnacentral:rRNA from 1 species
ACACGAAGCUGGAAUCGCUAGUAAUCGCGAAUCAGAAUGUCGCGGUGAAUACGUUCCCGGGUCUUGUACACACCGCCCGUCACACCAUGGGAGUCAGCAACGCCCGAAGUCAGUGACCUAACCGAAAGGGAGGAGCUGCCGAAGGCGGGGCCGGUAACUGGGGUGAAGUCGUAACAAGGUAAC